rnacentral:rRNA from 1 species
UACGUAGGCAGCGAGCGUUGUUCGGAGUUACUGGGCGUAAAGGGUGUGUAGGCGGUUUUCUAAGUUUGGUGUGAAAUCUCCCGGCUCAACCGGGAGGUGCGCCGAAAACUGGGAGACUAGAGUGCGGGAUGGGAGAGUAGAAUUCCUGGUGUAGCGGUGAAAUGCGUAGAUAUCUGGAGGAACACCGGUGGCGAAGGCGACAUCCUGGACCGGUAUUGACGCUGAGUGAGCGAAAGCCAGGGGAGCAAACGGG